GCAGGUAUAGCUCAGUGGUAGAGUGCGUGCUUAGCAUGCAGGAGGUCCUGGGUUCAAUCCCCAGUACCACCA
rnacentral:tRNA from 1 species